rnacentral:rRNA from 1 species
CUCAGUUCGGAUUGGAGCUGCAACCCGACUCCAUGAAGCUGGAUUCGCUAGUAAUCGCGCAUCAGCCACGGCGCGGUGAAUACGUUCCCGGGCCUUGUACACACCGCCCGUCGAGCCAUGGAAGCCGGGAGUGCCUGAAGUGCGUGAGCGCAAGCAGCGCCCUAAGGUAAAACCGGUGACUGGGGCUAAGUCGUAACAAGGUAAC